GAUGAACGCUGGCGGCGUGCCUAAUACAUGCAAGUCGAGCGAACAGACGAGGAGCUUGCUCCUCUGACGUUAGCGGCGGACGGGUGAGUAACACGUGGAUAACCUACCUAUAAGACUGGGAUAACUUCGGGAAACCGGAGCUAAUACCGGAUAAUAUAUUGAACCGCAUGGUUCAAUAGUGAAAGACGGUUUUGCUGUCACUUAUAGAUGGAUCCGCGCCGCAUUAGCUAGUUGGUAAGGUAACGGCUUACCAAGGCAACGAUGCGUAGCCGACCUGAGAGGGUGAUCGGCCACACUGGAACUGAGACACGGUCCAGACUCCUACGGGAGGCAGCAGUAGGGAAUCUUCCGCAAUGGGCGAAAGCCUGACGGAGCAACGCCGCGUGAGUGAUGAAGGUCUUCGGAUCGUAAAGCUCUGUUAUUAGGGAAGAACAAAUGUGUAAGUAACUAUGCACGUCUUGACGGUACCUAAUCAGAAAGCAACGGCUAACUACGUG
rnacentral:rRNA from 1 species